GGAGGGGCCAUGGCUCAGUGGCAGACCAUCUCCUUUGCAUUCAGAAGGUCCCAGGUUCAUCCCCUGGCAUCUCUA